rnacentral:rRNA from 1 species
UACGUAGGGUGCGAGCGUUAAUCGGAAUUACUGGGCGUAAAGUGUGCGCAGGCGGCGUCGCAAGUCGAGUGUGAAAGCCCCGAGCUUAACUUGGGAAUUGCGCUCGAAACUACGAUGCUGGAGUGUGGCAGAGGAAGGUGGAAUUCCACGUGUAGCGGUGAAAUGCGCAGAGAUGUGGAGGAACACCGAUGGCGAAGGCAGCCUUCUGGGCCAACACUGACGCUCAUGCACGAAAGCGUGGGGAGCAAACAGG